CACAACCCCAACACACACACAGUAAGAAAGAAAGAAACAAAGGGAGAGAGAGAGCGAAUAGGAGAAAAGGGAAAUAGAGAGAGGAAUCCGAGAGAGAACAGAGGAGGUGGAAGGGCUGCUGCCUCGCCGCGCCGUGUCACGUUGCCGUCCAGCCGCGUCGAAGAAGGAGAGGCAUCGCCGUCACCGUCGAAUGGGCCAAUUGAGGGAGAGUGAGAGAUGAACGGGAGAGCUCGCGAUGGAGAGAGGGAAGAUGCCGCCACUGUACGAGUCGCCGUCGAGCUCGCCGAGCAGAAGCUUGUCGCCGCCAUUCACGCAUCUAUCGCCGUCCGAGGAGCUUCCAUGGCCGCUGCCGUCGAGCUCACAAGUGAGAGAAAGAGAGUUCGCAUGUGAGAGAGGACGGUGUUGCGUCGCCGUUCGUUGUUGCGCAGCCACCGCCACGCCUUGUCGUCGUCGCCAAAGCCGCCAUCGUCGCCACGUCUCACCGCCGAAGGGGAGCCUUGCCAACGCCAUUGCCGAAACCAGGCCAGAUUCACCGGCUGUCGCGGCGUCGUUAAGGUGCUUCGAAGGGGGAGACACGUGACAAGGAGUUGGAAUUACUGCUGUCACACUGCUGCUGAGGGCCAGCCACCGCGCCGAGCUUCUGCCACCGUCAGGUCUACCGUCUGGUCACCAUGUAUUGCGCAGGUGUAGCAGGAAUCACUGCCGGAGCUGCUGCCGCUUCGUUCAUCCUUUCUUUUUGCGAGUUGCUGUGAUUGCUGCGAAAAUGGGUUAGAACUGAGGAUGCGGCUGCCGCCGUUGCGGGCCAAGAGAAAUCAGAGUUUUGUCACGUAAUUGAGUCGCGAACGAGGACCAAAAGCACGUUGCCCUCCCACAACGGCCAACACAUCAAGAUCGGCCAGAAAGGACUUUCAGCGGCAGGGGCCAGGGCGGCGUAGUCAACGGCGGCGCAGGGCUGGUUUGUCGUCAACCACGUGGCGGGUGGUAGGGUCCGGUGGCGUAGUCAACGGUGGUGCGGGGACUGGGUUGAUAUCAACGGCGGUGGCGUAGCCAACGGUGGUGCGGGGACUGGGUUGAUAUCAACGGCGGUGCAGGUGGCAGAGGCGGAGGUGGAGGACGGGUGUCUUAUAUCGGCUGCUGUUUGGUUCGAUUUUUUAAAAAAAAAUUAUACAAACCAAUUAUUUGUAAAAUUUUCGAUUUGGUUUGGUUUUACUCUAGCGCCAUCGCCUCCCCAUAAGACACCUGACUCCACCUUCACCUCUGCCCUGCACCGCCAUUGAUGCCAACCCAGCCCCUGUGCCGUUGACUACGCCGGCCCCCGGACCCUGCCACCCGCGACGCCACUGAUUCCAAUCCAGCCCUGAGCCGGCGCUGACUACGCUGGCCCCGGCCCCUGCCAUUGACUUUAUUGUUGCUUAGGAGAGCCUUGCAAGUUUGUUUGAAGGUACACUUAGCAUUCCGAAAAUCACACAAUGGUAUGUCUUAUGUUGGACCUGUUACUACUAAUGGAUUGUUAUCUUAUAUUAUAUCAGCCCAACAAAAGUAAAUAUACAUAGCUGUUAGCCAUAUUUUUCAGCUUAGGGACCAUUAUAAGAGUGCUAAACUUGCUUCCAAACUCAAUUCCUCAUGGAAUUAACAAAAGUGGUCUUUGGGUAUUAUUGUUAUUUAUUAUAAUAUGAAUUAUUAAUCACAUUAGAAAGACCAAAUUAAAUAAAAAAACUAACUAUACAAGUCAUAUUAGAGUCAUAAGUAGUGGAAAAUUGUAGUCAAAGAAUACUAAAAAUAUCUACUAGAAAAGGGUAUUUUCCUCUCUAAUUUGUUUUCUAUUUUUCCUCUUUCAAAAUAGUAGAUUAGGUAUUUUCUUUGACUGGAAUGUGGAAGAAAGUACUCUUUCAUUCUAACAAAUGCCCUCGUUUUCUUUCCUUGUUUGAGAUCAAUUAAUUGUUCUUGUUUAAAACUAUUGCUUCUGUUGUUACUCAAAUCUUUCUAAAUUCGUUGUUUGUAUUUGCACAAUUUUCCUGAUGUGUUGCUGCAUCCAUUGAUGAGUUCUGUAUUCUUCAUUGCAGUUUUGGAAGGUAGACCCUUGUUAGAGGUUAUGUUUUCUCCUCUUUUGCCUAGUUAGUUUUGCUCAAAUAUUUUGGCAAAUAUUAAUGGGAUCCAUGUAAUCACAUAAAUACUCAACAUGGUUGUUCCUGGAAUCAAAGGACUCAUAUAUAGUUCUUUAAAAUUGGGUAAUUUAAUAUCAUUCUUAAUUGAGUUUGCGUCUUUAUUAAUUCUUUUUCUUCCAAUUUUCCAUUUCUGGUUUUGUUGACUAAAUUUUACAUAUCAUCUGAUCAUGUGGUUUUCUUACCUAACCUGGUUGGAGGUUUACUUCUCGUUUUGUAUUGUUGAUUUAUGACUAUUCAUGAUUAAAUGAGUUUGAUGCCAUCUAGUAGAGUAAUUUUUCUUCUGAUGUCACUUUACUUGUUAGUUAUUCAAAUUUAAUCAAAGCAAUUUGUUUGAAUGCAUUUUUUUAUUCUUGAAAUUGCUUACCUCUCAUUCUUCCAUCAAUUGAUUAUUACUUCACAUGUUUAUAUCAUAUAUAUGUAUCAUUUGCAUUUUUUUUUCUUGGAUAUCAGAUUUAGGUAUUAUCGAUAUAGGUGAGUCAUGUGAUCAUUGACAUACUUAUAAGAUAUGAGUGCGUUUGUUUCACUCUUUCUUUUAUAUUAUAACCCAUUAUUUGCAGGCCUAUGAUAAACAGAUUCAGAGAUCAAUUAGCUGUGGGAGAAGUUUAUAAGAUGAUUUUUUUUUUCCGUCAUGAAUCAUGGCUCUUAUAGGGUAACUAGCAUGAUUUCAUGUUGAUUUUCCAGUUUAAGACCACUGGUAACCCCUGCAACUUCUGAUUUUAUACCUAAACUUGGAUUGAAAAUUACUCCAUUUGUUGAGUUUUAACAAAUUACUCAGGAUUCUGAUUAAUUAGUGGGUAUGCUUUAUCCUUUUUCCCCCUAAUGUUUUCUUUAUUUGUUUCUCUCGGAUUUCUGUUAAUAUUUCUUAUACGUUUGUUUCUUGAAUAUCAUUUUUUAAUAGCUGUUAUGGGUUUCCUUAUAUCAGAUGUUAUGAGUUUUGAGGUUUAAAAUUUAUAUUAUCUUUCCUUAUCUAAAUGUCUAAAUUAUUUGCUGUUUUGGGUUGAGGAUUCAGUGUGCUGAGUAUGUGGAUCAACUUAAUGUAUUUGAUAUCAUUUAAGGAGACAUUUGAGAGAGCACUUACUUUCCUGUUCAUCUCUGUGGUCCUAUGCAAUGCUUGCACCGCAAAUUUCGUUAGCUUUUUGGUUUAUUUUUUGUCUAAGGUCAGAGUUUCAGGAUUCAACAUUUUGAUGUGCUGGUGAAAUACUGGUCCCAUUUUAUUUUGUUGCCUUUUAUAUUCAAUGAGAAUCUCCCUAUUGCCUCUACAGAAGGGAUCUUUAAACUUAAAAAGUCUAUUUUUUGUACGGUUUAGUUUAAAGUGUAUUUGUGCUAAUUUGUCAAUUUUUUUACCCCAAAGCUACCCUAAAUUCAGCAAGAAGCCUCCUCUGCUUCUCCGACUGUGUGUUGCCACUUGCCACAAGAUCAGUUCACGACUCUCUUUCAAGUUGAAGAUGUAAGCCUGCCAUGUUCAAACUGGUCGUAGUGAUGUCACUGAACAAUUUCUUUCAGGGUAUUGUGAGGCUGAAUCCUUGCUUAAAGAUUACAGAUGGAAAUAGUGGCCAACUUUAGAGGCAGUAACGUUUGCAUCGGAAGAGACGAGCUCACCGGAAACCACCAUAGAGAAAAACUAAACAAGUUUAGGAAUGUUGGAAUUUUGUUCAUUGUAAAUUCGUUGAUGCUAGAACUCUGUGUGAAUAUAGUAUCCUCUUAAUUUUGUUUGUUGAUGUGUGAAUAUAUUCGUUCUUAUUCCUCACCAAUUUGUAUGCCCCUGAUCUCUUAGCCGCUGUUGGUUUUUGUUGCAUAUUGUUAGAUAGGCCCUAGUUAUGUUUUCUCCUCCAUGAUAUCUCAUAAAUUAUCAACGUGAUUGCUCCUGGCAUGGAAGGAUUUGUAUAUAGUUCUUUAAAAUUGGAUAAUUUAAUAUCAUUCUUAACCAGGUUUGCCUCUUUGUUAAUUCUUUUUCUUCCAAUUUUUCAUUUCUUACCUAACCUGGUUGAA